rnacentral:pre_miRNA from 1 species
CAACCUCCACAGGCUGGCUGGUCCCUUAUCUCCUCCAAAGACUCACCCUCAAGCAUGACUAGGAGC